rnacentral:lncRNA from 1 species
CCAUCCAACUCCACCGCCAGCUACCUUCUCCGGCUUCGUCGAGCAAGGGAAGGAUUUGAAGUAACAGCAAGAGUAGGUACCCCGGUCAACUCCUCCUCCUCCUCCUCCUUUUCCUCCUCGCAAAGCGUUGUGAUUCUCGAGAUUAGUAUGCUUAUAUUUCAUGGUUUAAUCAGGGUGGUGGUUUUAUUAGUAGGUUACAGAAGGAUUUGAAGUUUGCUUGUUUUGUGAUUUUUAGAAGCAUGUUAGAUUUAUCACAGUGCCUUGUGAUAUAAGUCAAAUUUGUUAAUGAAAAUCUACAGUUUGAAUGCAUUGGUUGCGUUGGGAUUUUUCAUACUGCUGGCAUCCUAUGGCCUCGGUCAUCGUCUAUUCUUGUCUAUGCAGCCUCUACCUCCAUCACUGCCCC